rnacentral:lncRNA from 1 species
GAACCAAGUCUUAAUAUGUCUGAAGGGAUAUUCUGGUAUUGGAUAAUAUUCACCACUCUAUUCAUAUUCAGUAGUCACCACUACUAACCACCUUUGCCACUGUCACCAUUGUCAACCACCACCAACCACCUCCACCAUCACAACCACCAUCGAUAAAAAAUACCGCUACCAACCACAAUUGUCAACUGCUACCACACCUACUACCUCUUUUAUUUUAAUUAUAUUCACCACCACCACU